GGUACAAGAACAUGUUCGAAGUUUUCUUGCUAUCUGCUUGUUCAGACUACUCAGACCUGGGACGCUGCAAAGGAUCAUUGUGCGUCUAUGGGAGGAUUCUUAGCGGACAUAAAAUCGCAAGACGAACAGGAAUUCCUAAGCAAAACUUUGUUGAAUAACAGCAACGUUCCUGGCAACAUGUGGAUUGGUGGUACGGACCGUGAAGAAGAAGGCGUGUUUGUUUGGCUAGAUGGUACAUCGGUAGGCUACGAGAACUGGCAUCCCGAUGAACCAACCAACACAAAAUCGAUGGAACAUUGCAUAGAAAUACGGCAUCACAUUAACAACAAAUGGAAUGAUCGGAAUUGCGAUGAUCAGAUGUCAAGUAUUUGUGAAUUCAAAUAAACAACCCAUAUAUUAUAAUAAUGGAAGUUUGUAAAGCUUUUCCAAUUACAAUAUAAUAUCAUUUAAUAUAUUCAACUUUAAAACUUGAAACUCAUGAAUUAAUAUUCCCACGAAAUAGCCAUUUUAACAAAUACUACGAAAUUUCAUGUUCACGAAAUUAAAUUGUGUCACAGUCUGUCGUAUAAUGUAUAAAUUCUGAAAGUGAGAACACUGUUUUGGUUUGUCGUAAGAGAAGAAUGUCGGAACCAUACCAUUUGUUUCAGCUAUACAAUAAAUGAUGAUUCUAGUAGAAUCAAAUUAAACGUCAUCCUAAUAGCAACAGAAGAAACAGCUAACAAAUUGGUGUAAGGACCUCAUUAAAAUUUUCUAUCCUAAAAUUGACGGAAAUUGUUACAUUCAAUGUAUUCUUGCAAAAUAGUAGUACUGCUGAAAUCUUCAGAAGUCAUCUUUUAUUUAGUAUUGGUCUGUACUACAGAAAUAUUAUUUGAAUAUUGGUUCGUCAUGUAAACCUUUUAUUUUCAAUGUAAUAAAUUUCAGAAUAACAAAUGGCCAGUGAUGUAAAAGAAUUUAAAAAGAAUUACUUGCCCGUACUGUAUUGUAAUAAUUUCGGAAUGACUAUUGGCCCGUAAUGUAAAAAAUUCUUUAAAAAACUAUUGACCCAUAAUGUAUAAAAAUUCUAAUUGGUUACUGGUCCAAUAUGUAAAAAAAAUCUCAGCCUGGAUUAAUGCUGAACUAUCUAAAAUUAAUUAUUGCUCCGUACUUUUAAAAUAUCAGAUUGACAGUUGUUCCGUAGUGGAAUUAAGACUUUUGGUAGAAUCAGUUUUAGUACCUAAUGCAAAAAUAAUAUAAGACUGUGAAGAAAAUGUACUGUCAAUUUAAAUAUCAGAUUGACAGUUAUUCCGUAAUGGAAAAAUAAAGAUUGACUUCUGACAGAAUCACUUUUAAGUACCUACUGCAAAAAAAGGUCAGGCUGUAAAGACAAUAUACUGUUAAUUUAUUAUUUUGUUUCCACUACAGUUUAAAAGAUAUUCAGAGUCUAUUUGAUGGAGAUGACGAAAACGAAAAACCCAUACUUUUAUUUUGAUAAAUGAGCCGUGCCAUGAGAAAACCAACAUAGUGGGUAUGCGACCAGCAUGGAUCCAGACCAGCCUGCGCAUCCGCGCAGUCUGGUCAGGCUCCAUGCUGUUCGCUUUUAAAGCCUAUUGGAAUUGGAGAAACUAUUAGCGAACAGCAUGGAUCCUGACCAGACUGCGCGGAUGCGCAGGCUGGUCUGGAUCCAUGCUGGUCGCAUACCCACUAUGUUGGUUUUCCCAUGGCACGGCUCAAAUGUAUUUUCUCGCGGUAAGAAGUGCUUUUUUCGCGUUGAUGUAGUAGUUGUAUCCUUUCAGUUGUAUGUGAAUGGUUUUGCAUGAUUCACCACACUCAUUAUUUGUAAUUGUCCAUUACAUAAAGUUAUCUUCCAAUCACUGACUCGUAUUUGCAACAUUCAACCGUACAAUAUCUGAUAUUGAAGACUAAUGUUGAUGUAUUGGAUACAAACAAAUAAUAUCAUUUAGAUUGGAUGGUUCAACUACAGUACUAAAUGAUGAAAGCCGUUGACCGACGCAUUUUCUCAAGAAAUCCGAUAUUAAUUCUUUACCAGUUGUUUCGGUUACCCAGAUACACAAAUGUAUAGGUCUCACCUAUCUGAACUGCUUUCUUUUGUUGUUGUUUUUUAUUAAGAAAUGUAAGCUAAAUGGAAAACAUUUUGAUUGAAAAUCAUAUUUCGUCUAAGUUUUUUUCAACUGAUUUCACAGCCAAAUAUUCUAUUCGUAUCAUUGGAAGAUGAAGAUCUGUGGAAAAUAGCCUAAGAUAGCAUAACUGCAAAGCAAACCAGCCAUUAACAAUGAUACUUUGGCCACAUUUUAUAUCUCUACGUAAUAAAAUGCAUGCUUUAUGCUUUCAAAUAACCUGUCAAUGACGUACUUGUGCGUAAAUGUUAUGAAAUUAUACCAUAAAAUAUCAUCACCCGAUUUUUGCAGAGAUGUAGUGAGUAUUGGGUUAAUGUCCUUGGAAACUUAAUUGGAAAAAGUUUAUAUCCGAGCUGUACAUGUUUUCGAUAGCGAGAUAGAUAAUCCUAUGAUUAAAAUUACAUUAGCCUAAUAUUUUAUUAUUCCUGCCUUUUGUGAAAACAAAAAGUUCUUCAACCUACAUUAACUUGAAAUAAAUGCUUAAACUGACAUUUUUUCAUAUAUUUUUUUGCUUCUGUGUGCUUUGUUGGACAAAAGAUACAUGUUAUUAUUAAUGAAAGCAAAUGGAUAGAGCCACAGGUUAUUUCAAAAUUAAAACUCAGACCUGUUACGCGCGCCCUCAUUGACAUGGCACAUAAACAUAUUAUAUAUAGUAUAUUUUAUGUAUUUUGUAAUUUGGUAGAGAAUGAUGAAUUUCCUACUCAGACGAUACAUUCUUGGACGAUUAUUGUACAGGAGUAUCUUGAGAAAAUUUCUAUGAAAUUAUUUGGAAAGCGGUUGCUGAAAGGUUCUUUUAUAAUUCAUAUAGAGAAAGUGACAACGCCCUCUAGAGAUAAUAUUUUUGAUAUAGAAGAUUGAUUUUAAUAUACGUGGAAGAUAAACACCAAAGAGAAUUUCCGAGGAUUUUUUUUCAAAUCGGACCAACAGCUUCUGAACAAUCUUGCUUGUUGGUCACCAAAUAAAUAAUUUUGUGAAAUCAUUUCACAAGAUGUCGUUUGAAGAUUUUUGUAUAUGUUUUGAAGUUAUAGCAUCUAAUUCCAGAUUGCUUUUUAUUGUCAAAUAUACUUGUAAAUUGUUUUAUUUUCUGAAGCUUUGAAGCUAGUUGUCCACUAUUUAAGCUGAAAGUCAGAAUAUAUUUACUUAAAGGAAUGGUAUUGUAUUUUAUGCUUAAGACAAAAUCAUGUACACGUGUAGAAU